GUCUAUGGCCAUGCCACCCUGAACAAGUCCAAUCCCAUCUGAUCUUGGAAGCUAAGCAGGGUCGGGCCUGGUUAAUACUUGGAUGAGAGACCAUCAAGAAGGCCAGGUGCUGCAGGCA
rnacentral:rRNA from 1 species